rnacentral:lncRNA from 1 species
CAGACAGUUGCUCGCAUGAUUUCUUCCAACCGGAAUGUGCUCCUCCGUUAUUGUCCUGGAAGCAUCUUCCAGAUAAAGAGAGCAGAAUAUGCAAAAGCCCAGAAGCAUGAGCGGGUACAGUGCUCUUAGGGGGCUGUAAGUUACGUGUGAGGCUGGACUGCAUGGUCCCAGGAGGAAGUGGCAGCUAGAAAGGCAGGCAGGAGCCAUACCAUGAAAGGCCUUCUAUGUAUUUCAUCCUGAGAAAUUUAGAUUUUAUCUCAAUCUUAAGACAAUGAAGUUUUUGACAGACUUUGGUGUUUGAGAUUUCUGAGGCAAAACAGUCCAAACUACAAGCAAGAUCCAGGACGUAGACUUGGCUGGCCACGGGGGUGAAGUGGAAUGGAGAUGAAGAUGCUUCAGUUAGGAGCGGCCUGGCCUUCCCCAAGUCUGGGUUAGGAGUCGCCCUGGAUGCGUGCUGCCUACUUGCAUGGUAGCUCCUCUUGGUCUGUAUCAUCACAGUGUGUGUGCAAAUCGGAGGGACCUACUCCAGCUGCCUCUUGUGAAGAAAGCGGGUGUUGGUGUGGGCAGGUAGAGCGGUGGUCCCAACCUUGACUGCAUAUUGGAAUAAUCUGAGGAGCUUUGGAAACUACUGAACCCACCCAGGGAUUUUUAUUUAAUUGGACUACCGUGUGGCCUGGGUGUCAAGAGCUUUUAAAGCUCCCCAGGUGAUUCUAAUGUGCGGCUAAGGUUGAAAACAGUGGAAGUUGAGGAGUGAAGUUGAGGCAGAGAGACCAGCUCUGCCCUAGCACAGGGGAGAAGUGAGCACCUGGACCAGCGGAGUGGACAUAAGACUUGCAAAAAAGCAAGUCCUUUAUGAUCAAUUGGCUUUAUGGGAGAAGGAAAAGAAGGGCUGCCCACCCUCCUUCCAUUUUGUCCUGUCCCCUACCAACUUCUCCAUCAUCCCCGCUGUUUACUGAGGACCUGGCAGCUUGGCUCACAGGGUCCCUCCUCCCAGCCCCUACUGUCCCACCCUUGCCAUCUCUUGCCUUAAUUCACGGCGAUUUCAACAUCCAUCUGGACAAUCCACGUAAAAACCGAAGCAUCUGAUUCCUGGACCUUCCUUACUUCAGUUACCUUUAUCCCCACUCAACUUCAGCUACCCACGCCCUGCCAAGCCUACUGCCUGGAUCUUGCUUAUGUUUUGAAGCUCAAACAUCUCAAGCUCCAGUGUCUCACUACAGGGGACUCUCAGCCUCCCUAGCAGAAUGAUGACUUUGGGUGCCACUCUCUCCCAUCACUCCUGGAACUGAUGCAGCCACCUUGCCACCAGCACGAGGAUGAAAUCAGUACCAAGAAUGGAAGUGUAAAGAAGUGGUCCUUACAAAUGGAUAAAGAAGAUGUGGUAUAUAUACACAAUGGAAUACUAGUCAGCCCUAAAAAAAGAUGAAAUCCUGCCAUUUGUGACAACUUGGAUGGACCUUGAGGGUGUUAUGCUAAGCGAAAUAAGUCAGAAGGAGAAAGUCAAAUACCGUAUGAUCUCACUCAUAAGUAGAAGAUAAAAACAAGAACAAUCACAUAGAGACAGAGAUUUGUUUGGUGGUUACUGGAGGGGAAGGGGCGAGGGAGGUGGGCGAAAGGGGUGAUUAGGCACGCGUGUGUGGUGACGGACAGUAAUUAGUCUUUGGGUGGUGACCAUGAUGUAAUCAACUAGAAGUU